CAAUGAUUCUGAAGUGAUUUAAUUAUCUCAUAUUCAAUAUUUACUUUAGGUCCUUUUACCAUUGCUUCUUGUGCAUUCUUAUUUUACUUUUAUUUUUUUUAUUUGAGAUAAAUAUAGAUUUUCCAAACAACUGGAAGAAAUAAUGUAGAAAAAUCCUGUGCAUCAUUUUCUGCUUUCACUUUCUCCAUGAUAGCAUCCUGAAACAUUAUAGUAAAAUAUCAAUACCAGGAUAUGGACACUGAUAAACUCAAGAUGCAUAACUUUCCCAUCUUCCAAAUUAUCCCACACAUUGACUUCAUUUAUUAUUUAUUUAUUUGUUAUCAGGAUUGAACCUAAGGGUACUUAACAACUGAGACACACUCCUGCUCCCCUGACUUUUAUUUAUUUAUUUAUUUAUUUAUUGGAGGUCUCACUAAAUUGCUUAGCCCUCCCUAAGUUGCUGGAGCUGGCUUUGAACUCACACACAAUCCUGCCACUGGGCUUAUAGACGUGUGCCACUGUGCCUGCCCAGCUCUGCACACUGAUCUUUUAUGACAACAAUCAAGCCCCUCCCACUAAUGUUCCCUGCUCAACAUCUGGUCACUAAUUUGUCAUCCAUUUCUGCAAUUUUGUCUUUUCAGGAAUGCUACAUAAAAUGAAAGAUAAGAUAUGCAAGCAUUUAAAGAUUGAUUUUUGACUAGAUUAAUUUUCUAGAGUUUUGUCUAAGUCGUCAUGUGUAUUGUUUCUUUGUAUUGCUGAGUAAUGUUUUAUAGCAUGAAAGUACUACAGUUUAUUUAAUCAUUUAUCAACUGAAGGAGCUUGGAUUUUUUACAGUCUAGGGCAUUACAAACAAAUCUAGUAUGAACAUAUUUGUGUACAUGUUUUAUGUAUACAGAUUUUCAUUGCUCUGGGGUAAAUGUCCAAAAGUGCAAUUACUGGCUCAUAUGUAUUUGCAUAUGUGAUUUUAUUAAGACAUUGUCAAACUGUUUUCCAGAAUGAUGGACUGCUUUAUAUUUCCACGGACAGUGUAUGAGUGGUAGUUUCUCUGCAUCAUUAUUUCAUAUUGUCAAUGUGUAUAACUAGAGAAACUCAAGCAGGUACAACAUAAUUAUGUUUUAAAUUUGAAUCUGCCUAAUGAAUAAUGAUGAUGAGUAUCUUUUUAUGUACUUUUUGACAACUUCAUGUCCUACUGAGUAAAACGUCUGUUCAUUUAUUUUGCCCAAUUUCUUAUUGAAUUUUUUUUUAUUUCUUACUGUUAAGUUUUUUAGUUCUUUGAAUAUUUUUUAAAUAUAUUUUUAGUUGUUGGUAGACAUUUAUUUAUUUUUAUGUGGUGCUGAGAGUCAAACCCAGUGCCUCGCAAGUGUGCUAUACCACUGAACCACAGCCACAGCUGUUUUUGAAUAUUUUUGAUAGUUAUCCUUUGGAAGAUAUAUGAUUUAAAGAUAUUUCCUAUGAGUCUGUGUCUUCUCUUUUCAUCUCUUGUGUCAUUUUUGUGAAUUUACAGAAAAUUAUGACUACAUAUUUCAAUUCUUUUGCGUGGCCGUGAAAGAUAUUGCAUUUUUGAUUCUUAUGUCC
rnacentral:lncRNA from 1 species